UACGAAGGGGGCUAGCGUUGCUCGGAAUUACUGGGCGUAAAGCGCACGUAGGCGGCUCUUUAAGUCGGAGGUGAAAUCCUGGAGCUCAACUCCAGAACUGCCUUUGAUACUGAGGAUCUUGAGUCCGGGAGAGGUGAGUGGAACUGCGAGUGUAGAGGUGAAAUUCGUAGAUAUUCGCAAGAACACCAGUGGCGAAGGCGGCUCACUGGCCCGGUACUGACGCUGAGGCACGAAAGCGUGGGGAGCAAACAGG
rnacentral:rRNA from 1 species